AAUUAUGAUGAAUAACUUAGAUAGGGACAACUGAGUAUUUAUACAUUGAAGACAGUUGUUUCAUAAAGAUAGUAGAAAACAUAUCUGAAU